UCCGCCUGAGGCCGGAUACCCACUCUGGGCUCGGAUACCCGCGCUGGGCCCGGAGCAUCCUCGGCGCUGCCCUCCCAGAGCCCCGCAGAGGCUGAGGUGGCGCGGGGGCGGCCCCGGCUCCGCGAGAAGAGGCGGCAGCGAGGGCUGGAGGACCCGGGCUACGGGGCUCCGGGGCGUCUGGCCUGGGUGGGACUGAGCCCAUCCAGGGACUGGGACUCCGGGGUUCUGGUGUAGGUGGAUCCCGGGCAGGCUCAGGACCAAGACCCUCUCCUUCCACCAAGGAGCGCCCAGAGGCCGGCGGGAGCUCCAGGUUCACCUCCUCCUCCUCCAGGAAAUCCCACUUCCAGCUGGAUGUCUGGAUGAACUCCUGAAAGCUGCUGAGUGUCCUGCAGCAGGCCAUUUCCAAUCCAGAGGAAGACCUUCUAGAAGAAGUGAUGGGUGGGAGAGUGCUGACAUACUAUGCAAAGCUACUAUUUGGAGUUGGACACGAGUGCAUGUGACCUUGUGCCACAGCGGGAAUGUGAGCUGGAUGACAAAUGGAGAUUUGGACUUGUGAUAAUUGGCCUCUGUGUCAUUGUGUGGAAGACUGACUGGUCCCUUUAUUUCCUGUAGCUUGACUACCACACAAAUUAAUCCACUCAAAUGUUGGCAAGUGGAGCAGAGUCCCAGGACAGGCCUCCGUGUCAUCAUGGAGAUUCUCCUUGACAUGCAGUCACGGCCAUGAUCCAUCUUCAGAGCUUCUCUUUCUUCCCCACGGUAGGUCUGUCAGCAGAGAACCCUGACCACACACUCAUGUGUUUUCUCCUCCAGAAUGCGC
rnacentral:lncRNA from 1 species